rnacentral:pre_miRNA from 1 species
AGCUAGUCGAUGUACUGAGAUCUCGUCACACACCAGACCACAAGGGCUGAUGAGACUUCCAAGAUAAGUGAAGCG